UGGAGAGUUUGAUCCUGGCUCAGAUCGAACGCUGGCGGCAUGCCUUACACAUGCAAGUCGAACGGCAGCAUGAUCUAGCUUGCUAGAUUGAUGGCGAGUGGCGAACGGGUGAGUAAUACAUCGGAACGUGCCCUGUAGUGGGGGAUAACUAGUCGAAAGAUUAGCUAAUACCGCAUACGACCUGAGGGUGAAAGUGGGGGACCGCAAGGCCUCAUGCUAUAGGAGCGGCCGAUGUCUGAUUAGCUAGUUGGUGAGGUAAAGGCUCACCAAGGCGACGAUCAGUAGCUGGUCUGAGAGGACGAUCAGCCACACUGGGACUGAGACACGGCCCAGACGUCCUACGGGAGGCAGCAGUGGGGAAUUUUGGGACAAUGGGGGCAACCCUGAUCCAGCAAUGCCGCGUGUGUGAAGAAGGCCUUCGGGUUGUAAAGCACUUUUGUCCGGAAAGAAAUCGCACUUACUAAUAUUAGGUGUGGAUGACGGUACCGGAAGAAUAAGGGCCGGCUAACUACGUGCCAGCAGCCGCGGUAAUACGUAGGGUCCAAGCGUUAAUCGGAAUUACUGGGCGUAAAGCGCACGCAGG
rnacentral:rRNA from 1 species